AACAUUCAUGGAUACCUGAAGCAUUCUGGUUAGGCAGAAUGAUAAUGAUAAUGAUAAUACUCACAACUCAUGAUUCUCCAGCACUCACCAGUGCCAUCCUAAAUAAAACUGUGAGAGAAAUUCUCCAAAGAAAAUUAUGAAAUCAUAUUUAUUGGGGAAUGUGCAACAUUUCAAUGGAAAUUAGCACAACAUCAUAAUGAGAAUGUGUAUACCAUAGUAGCCUAUGCUUAUUUCCAAAAAGAGGAAAAGGAAGUUUUUACAGGCAAAAAUGAGAAUUAUAUCAGAUAUUUUCAAACAACAAUCUUUGACCACAAUGAUUAAUAACAAGAGUGACAUCAAAACUGCGUUUGAACAGAUAAUUGCUCAGUAGAUGUCCUUGUGGAAAUACUUUUUGUGUAAGGUUGUAGUGGCCUCUAUGCAAGUUCUGGAUGUCUUUUGUGAUAGUUACUAUCAAACGAUCAUGUGAAAGAAUUCUUUCUUCUUUAUUUUCUCUGGCUUAAUAUACUUUUUUUCUUAGGGUUGGCACAAGGGAUUCUAUUUUAAUUCUGACAACUUUCACAUUUGCAAUUUUUUUUCCUCUUCACAACACUAUCUCCAGUCCCAGAGAGGAUGGUUGAUGGUGCCAGAAUUAGAAUCCAGGAGUUUCUGAAUCCCAAAUCCAGGAUGCUUAAUCUCUCUACUACCACUGUUUUA
rnacentral:lncRNA from 1 species